AUUGAACGCUGGCGGCAGGCUUAACACAUGCAAGUCGAGCGGGGUGAUGGUGCUUGCACUAUCACUUAGCGGCGGACGGGUGAGUAAUGCUUAGGAAUCUGCCUAUUAGUGGGGGACAACAUCUCGAAAGGGAUGCUAAUACCGCAUACGUCCUACGGGAGAAAGCAGGGGAUCACUUGUGACCUUGCGCUAAUAGAUGAGCCUAAGUCGGAUUAGCUAGUUGGUGGGGUAAAGGCCUACCAAGGCGACGAUCUGUAGCGGGUCUGAGAGGAUGAGCGGCCAAACUGGGACUGAGACACGGCCCAGACUCCUACGGGAGGCAGCAGUGGGGAAUAUUGGACAAUGGGGGGAACCCUGAUCCAGCCAUGCCGCGUGUGUGAAGAAGGCCUUAUGGUUGUAAAGCACUUUAAGCGAGGAGGAGGCUCUUUUGGUUAAUACCCAAGAUGAGUGGACGUUACUCGCAGAAUAAGCACCGGCUAACUCUGUGCCAGCAGCCGCCGUAA
rnacentral:rRNA from 1 species